rnacentral:antisense_RNA from 1 species
GGCGCUUGAGGCUUUUUGCCUCAUGGCCUGCAUUUAGAAGUAAUACGCAGAAAUGUUGUGAGGCAGAAAGAUGAAAGCCCCGAGUCAAUUUUUCAAUUAACCCGAGGCUACACCGACGCCUUAGCAACGUCAGCGUAGCCUCUUACCUGCUGAAAGGCAAGGAGUUAUAGG